UCGGAUUGUAGUCUGCAACUCGACUACAUGAAGCUGGAAUCGCUAGUAAUCGCGGAUCAGAAUGCCGCGGUGAAUACGUUCCCGGGUCUUGUACACACCGCCCGUCACACCAUGGGAGUCGGAAAUGCCCGAAGCCAGUGACCCAACUGAAAGGAGGGAGCUGUCGAAGGCAGGUCUGAUAACUGGGGUGAAGUCGUAACAAGGUAAC
rnacentral:rRNA from 1 species